rnacentral:rRNA from 1 species
UACAGAGGUCCCGAGCGUUGUUCGGAUUCAUUGGGCGUAAAGGGUGCGUAGGUGGCGCUGUAAGUGGGGUGUGAAAUCCCGGGGCUUAACUCCGGAACUGCAUUCCAUACUGCGGUGCUUGAGGACUGGAGAGGAGACUGGAAUUUACGGUGUAGCAGUGAAAUGCGUAGAGAUCUGGAGGAACACCGAUGGCGAAGGCAGCCCCCUGGGUUAACACUGACGCUCAUGCACGAAAGCGUGGGGAGCAAACAGG